rnacentral:rRNA from 1 species
GACGAACGCUGGCGGCGUGCUUAACACAUGCAAGUCGAGCGAUGAAGCUUCUUCGGGGGUGGAUUAGCGGCGGACGGGUGAGUAACACGUGGGUAACCUGCCUCAUAGAGGGGAAUAGCCUUCCGAAAGGAAGAUUAAUACCGCAUAAGAUUGUAGUACCGCAUGGUACAGCAAUUAAAGGAGCAAUCCGCUAUGAGAUGGACCCGCGUCGCAUUAGCUAGUUGGUGAGGUAACGGCUCACCAAGGCGACGAUGCGUAGCCGACCUGAGAGGGUGAUCGGCCACAUUGGGACUGAGACACGGCCCAGACUCCUACGGGAGGCAGCAGUGGGGAAUAUUGCACAAUGGGGGAAACCCUGAUGCAGCAACGCCGCGUGAGUGGUGACGGUCUUCGGAUUGUAAAGCUCUGUCUUCAGGGACGAUAAUGACGGUACCUGAGGAGGAAGCCACGGCUAACUACGUGCCAGCCGCCGCCGUAA